GUCCUUUUGUUAUUUAUAUAAGGUCUAACCUGCCCAAUGAUUUUUUUAAUGGCCGCGGUAUUUUAACCGUGCAAAGGUAGCAUAAUCAUUUGUCUUUUAAUUGGAGGCUAGAAUGAACGGUUGGACGAGAUAUAUACUUUCUUUAUUUUAAAAAAAUGAAUUUAAUUUUUGAGUUAAAAAGCUUAAAUUUUAUUAUAGGACGAGAAGACCCUAUAGAACUUUAUUUAACUAAAUAAAUUAAUUAAUUUGGUUUAUGGUUUAAUUAUUUUAUUAAUUAAAUUUUGUUGGGGUGACAAGAAAAUAUUUUUAACUUUUCUUUAUUUUUUUCAUAAAUUAAUGUAUUUUUGAUCCAAUGUUUUUGAUUAUAAGAUUAAGUUACCUUAGGGAUAACAGCGUAAUUCUUUUGGAGAGUUCAUAUCGAUAAAAGAGUUUGCGA
rnacentral:rRNA from 1 species